GCAGUGGGUACGGGCAGACUAGAGUGCGGUAGGGGAGAUUGGAAUUCCUGGUGUAGCGGUGGAAUGCGCAGAUAUCAGGAGGAACACCGAUGGCGAAGGCAGAUCUCUGGGCCGUAACUGACGCUGAGGAGCGAAAGGGUGGGGAGCAAACAGGCUUAGAUACCCUGGUAGUCCACCCCGUAAACGUUGGGAACUAGUUGUGGGGUCCAUUCCACGGAUUCCGUGACGCAGCUAACGCAUUAAGUUCCCCGCCUGGGGAGUACGGCCGCAAGGCUAAAACUCAAAGGAAUUGACGGGGACCCGCACAAGCGGCGGAGCAUGCGGAUUAAUUCGAUGCAACGCGAAGAACCUUACCAAGGCUUGACAUAUACGAGAACGCUGCAGAAAUGUAGAACUCUUUGGACACUCGUAAACAGGUGGUGCAUGGUUGUCGUCAGCUCGUGUCGUGAGAUGUUGGGUUAAGUCCCGCAACGAGCGCAACCCUCGUUCUAUGUUGCCAGCACGUAAUGGUGGGAACUCAUGGGAUACUGCCGGGGUCAACUCGGAGGAAGGUGGGGAUGACGUCAAAUCAUCAUGCCCCUUAUGUCUUGGGCUUCACGCAUGCUACAAUGGCCGGUACAAAGGGCUGCAAUACCGCAAGGUGGAGCGAAUCCCAAAAAGCCGGUCCCAGUUCGGAUUGAGGUCUGCAACUCGACCUCAUGAAGUCGGAGUCGCUAGUAAUCGCAGAUCAGCAACGCUGCGGUGAAUACGUUCCCGGGUCUUGUACACACCGCCCGUCAAGUCAUGAAAGUCGGUAACACCUGAAGCCG
rnacentral:rRNA from 1 species